GACGAACGCUGGCGGCGUGCCUAAUACAUGCAAGUAGAACGCUGAAGGAGGAGCUUGCUUCUCUGGAUGAGUUGCGAACGGGUGAGUAACGCGUAGGUAACCUGCCUUGUAGCGGGGGAUAACUAUUGGAAACGAUAGCUAAUACCGCAUAAGAGUAGAUGUUGCAUGACAUUUGCUUAAAAUGUGCAAUUUCAUCACUACCAGAUGGACCUGCGUUGUAUUAGCUAGUUGGUGAGGUAACGGCUCACCAAGGCAACGAUACAGAGCCGAACCGAGGAGGGGAUCGGGCAACACUGGAACGAGAAAACGCUCAGACCCCUAAGGGAAGGCGCAGUAGGGAAAUUUUGGACAUGGGCGGCAGUCUGGCCGAGCAACGACGGGUGAGUGAAGAAGGGUUUCGGAUUGUAAAGCUCUGUUGUAAGAGAAGAAAGAGUGUGAGGGUGGAAAGUUCACACUGUGACGGUAUCUUAACAGAAAGGGACGGCUAACUACGUG
rnacentral:rRNA from 1 species